CAUCCACCACUAUAAACGUAAACAAACAAACCAAUUACGAAAUUACAAUACGUGCAACAACAAAAACUACGAUGCGACAAAAAAAAACUCCGGCAGUUUCAGUGGACUUCGGUGUUCCUGCCCAAGCGCUCCCGCCCAUCCUGUAGCCAGCACAGUUUGUGGCUACCUACUAUGGAGCUACGUACUCCUUAUUUUGGCCCGGUCGUCCAGGCUAUGACCUAUUGCAACCGAACGCGAACGAAAACCCAAUUCGGACGGCCUAUGUACUUGGAUCAGCUAUGGACGCGAAUCGCCUUCCCUCCACAGAGCUCUAGGGGUCAGGGGCACUCCUAUUUAUUUUACUCUGGUGGCCAAACACUCACAAAUUCUAGGCUGUCCUUCCUAUUCGGUUUUACAUAACUCUGAGAUCAAAGCUUGGCUAUUUCCUCACGAGACAGCACCGGACACACGAUGGGGCCAGGAAUCAGGGUUGCGGCGGUACGGCGUUGGCGUCGCUAGCAUCAACACCUGGUACCAGAACGGACUCACUCAGUUUAGGCUUCUACGGCACGUAUCCUCCGUCGUCUAUGCUGGCGGUACGGUAGAAUCCGCUGGUCGGUGGGAUAGCCCUGAAGACGCGGCUGUACGGGCUGCCGCUGACGAAGAUGCGACGAUGAGACGAUGAUGGCGAUGCGGGCGGUCAAUUCAGCCUCAACAUGCGUCGAAACGUGGUCGGCGGGACGAUUGGGCAUGUGCUGGUGGCUACCAAUUGCCCAAUAUCCAAAAUGUAGCAUAAGUCCAAAAUAAACAGACCCAGCGGCCGCUCGUCUGCUGCUGGGUCUAUGAUUAUCUGACACGUAGACAUUGGCAUAAAUUUCUUUCAUUUAUUUUCUAACCUUUUUUUCUCUUACCUAUUUUCAGGUUAUAGGUAUAUUCAAAAUUCUUUCAGGUCUGUGUCCGUGCUCCGUCCUUGCUCGUCUCAUUCACCAGCAACAAUGCCGCCACCACCUCGCGUACCGCGUGGCUCUUUCAAAACCCUUUUGCAUCCGUUUAUUCCCAUCCUUCUCCUGCCGCCAUCUCCUACUCCCAUUUCCAGCAACCAUGGCCUGCUGCCGCAACAGCUGGCACUGUCACUUCCCGGUACCGCAAGGUGGCGCUGGUAACCGGUUGCGCCGAUAAAUGUAUGCUGGCGUUGCCAGAAACCGCGGCCGAUAAUUAGCCGAUGCAACACCAACGCAAAGGUGCGAGUGACGCCAUCCGGAAUGCUGCAACCUUUGCGCGCAUCAUCUCCGCCGUCGCGCGACUUCGGCUUUCGCUUAGGAGCGCAAAUCUUUUGCGUGGAAAACUCCCAGAGGCCUUCCUUGCAGAUCUUCAACUUCGUACGCGUUGCUUCCAACGGCUCGGACUACUCGCGACUUCAGGAACUUCCUCGCAAACUUCGCGUUGAACGCUUUGCUAAAGUCGCUGAAUUCCAAAUUUUUAGGCGGUAGACUUCUUGGCCCGGGACAGCAUGGAACUUACGCGCUCGUUGGUCAAAGCGGGCUCUACUUCGCUCAUACGCGGUAUGCAUGUGUCUUUGCACCUUCUCCUGGACAAGUUUCUGUCUGUCGCUUUUAUUUAAUACUGACAUCUCGUGGUCGCCCAUCGACUUCAGUUUCCUCGCCAAUUCAUAUUGGGACCCAUGCAACAUCAUGUGCUGCCCGAAGAGUGCAAAGAACGGCGUCUUUCCUGUCGCCGCGUGCACGCUGUUUCGAAUCGCCACCUCGAUUUCCGGCAGAUGCAAAUCCCCCUCUCUAUGAUCCUGUUCCAGGUAUGCUCUAAUGGCUGCCAAUACGGUGCGGUUGACCCGUUCCGAGGCGUUGCUCUGGGGCGAAUAUACCGGGGUCUUCAGAUGCUUGAUCCCGUACGCACCAAUCAUCUCCGCAAACGUCGCUGAAGUAAAUUGCCGGCCAUUGUCUGAAUGCAUCACCUCUGGCACUCCAAAUGUGUGAAAGACGUUGUUCACCAGAAAUUCCACCACAUUUCCCGACGUAGCCUUCCUCAUCGCUUUCAAGAAGUUCUAGGGUAUUUCCCUAGGAAAUCAACAUAUAGCUUCUGGAAAGGCCGCCCUGUCACCACCUCAGCACCGAGACUGACCUGCAUUUUAAAAUUUGCCGCCUUGGUCUCUUUGCAGACUUGGCAGCCUCGCACAAACUCCGCGACUUGACACGCCAUCCUCGGCCAAUAGAAGUACCGCCGUAGAUUUUCCAGCGUCUUCGCAACUCCUCCGUGUCCCGCUGUUUCCUCGCAAUGGGCUCUCGUAAUCAGGGCUCCUGUUAACGCGCUGGGCACCCACAGCUUCCACUCGAUUCCGUCUAGCUGUGCCUCAAGGCGGUUGAAUGCGGUCCGUUUGUAAAUGACGCCGUCCACGACUUGCAAGUCAAUUCUCGGUAUUCCUCCGAUUCAAA